rnacentral:lncRNA from 1 species
AGAGAUUUAUAACUUUAAAGACAAAAAAAGUCUUACUAUGUGAUCCAAAGAAUAAACUCAUAAGUCCAUGACAAAUAGAAGUUCUAAACAAUUGUUUACAAACACUUCAGGUAUAAUUACAGUAAAAGUCAAGUUCAUCUGAAAUCACCAAAAAAGUUUCUGGUUGGGCACGGUGGCUCACCACCUGUAAUCCCAGCAUUUAGGGAUUUUCUUACAAUAAAAGGCAUGCAGGUUGAUUAUUAUCAAACUGUUCCUAUUUUAAAUGACAUGAUUGCCCCUAUAUAAAAUUUUAAGGAAUCUAAAAACAAAAAACAGCUUCCGAAACUAGUGAGUUUAGAAGCGCACAGCAUGCAACAUAAAUAUAUGAAAACCGAUUGUAUUUCUAUAUAGUAAUAAAAAACAAGUAGACACUAAAAUUAAAACUGCUAUGUUGUUUAUAAUCACUCGAAAAAUUAAAUACUUAGCUAUAAAUCUCACAAAACAUGGACAGAACUCAUAAGCUGAAAUCUACACAGUGCUGAGGAGAACAAGUUCCUGGAUCAUCCUGCAACCUGGAGGGGACGGCCCUGGGGCUUUCAGGGCCCUGGGGCUUUCAGGGUGGAGCGUGAACAGGCCUCCGGGAAACAUCUUCCAUCAGCCAAACCCUCCUGCUGCCUUAUUGAAGAAGUCCCUCUUCAGGCUCUUCUGCUCACGUCUCUGAAUCUCUCCUUGGCAAAGGCUCACGUGGGCUCUGGCACCGGCGUCAUGCGGAGGACAAUGAAGGGCAGCCGGGCAUCUUGGGGUGACUCCCGGAGCCCCGCCUGCACCCAGGCCGGCUCUUCCUGCACAGUGGCCCUGCCUGAGGCUGCUUUCCACCAGCAGGAAUCGAAACUGAUCUGGAUGAGAAC